AAACCUUAGCUAUCAGUUUAUUCAGGGUCUGCUGUGUUCACCUUUUCAGAGUGGAGAUUUAAAAACAUGACUGUUUCUCUGAUAAGAUGUCCAGCAGCUUGGAGUAUUCUCGCCUGUUGAUUGAACUGUAUUUGAAUUUU